GACGAACGCUGGCGGCGUGCUUAACACAUGCAAGUCGAACGAAGAGCGACGGAAGCUUGCUUCUAUCAAUCUUAGUGGCGAACGGGUGAGUAACGCGUAAUCAACCUGCCCUUCAGAGGGGGACAACAGUUGGAAACGACUGCUAAUACCGCAUACUAUCUAACCUCGGCAUCGAGGAUAGAUGAACGGUGGCCUCUACAUGUAAGCUAUCACUGAAGGAGGGGAUUGCGUCUGAUUAGCUAGAUGGAGGGGUAACGGCCCACCAAGGCGAUGAUCAGUAGCCGGUCUGGGAGGAUGAACGGCCACAUUGGGACUGAGACACGGCCCAGACUCAUACGGGAGGCAGCAGUGGGGAAUCUUCCGCAAUGGACGAAAGUCUGAGGGAGCAACGCCGAGGGAGUGAUGACGGCCUUCGGGUUGUAAAGCUCUGUUAAUCGGGACGAAAGGCCUUCUUGCGAAUAGUGAGAAGGAUUGACGGUACCGGAAUAGAAAGCAACGGCUAACUACGUG
rnacentral:rRNA from 1 species